CUUAGCUCUGACUUGUAGUACUGAAGUGUUCAUUUGGGAAUAGAUGCACGAACCGAAAUGAUGUCCAUUUUCACUCCAGAGUGACCGAUCACUUAAAGCUCUCACAAGUGCAUCCGUGUGUGGUUAAAAUGAGCUGAAAUCUGGAGCUCUGUGGAGGUGAUUAGAAAGAUUUAAUCAGGCACUGCAUUAUGUUACAUCAUCCUGGUGCUGAUAUCUGAACCUGAGAGAUGAGAGUCUGGGCUGCCCAGCAGCAGUGGGGAUCGGGGAUGGGGUGGGAUGCAGGGAGAGAAGCACUUGCUUGGACCAAGAACAAGUGAGCCCAGUGUGGGAAGAUGAGCCUUUUCCCAUGAUGGAUUGAGCCAUGGAGUGUGCUGCAACCUGGCAUCCUGGCUGGAACGUCCGCUUAACCCUGGGGGUUGCUGCUCAUUUCUGUGUUCAGGCCUUCCUUCCCUCUUGCUUGUUUAAACAUGGAUAAUCUCCUUGGUACAAUGGGUAUUUGUUGUUGGACUUAGCAGUAAAGCUCCUGCAAAGCUCGGGGUGAAGGCAGGGAGCAGCUGGCAACGUGUUCCUCUGAGGGCUUCUGCUCUUGUCCCCGCUCACCUCUUCAUCUCAUCCCUUUCUUUGCACUGCUGUCUCUUGGUUCUCCUCAUUGCUCUCCCUUGUCACGUCUGUGUUCCAGGUACCUGCUGUCCAAACUGCAUGGUUCCUUGCUGUGACACCAGACCCUCACGGGGCAUCCCUGCCCAAAGCAGCUUUGUGUGAUUUAAUGGAAACUUGCAGUUACCUGCAGUGUGUGGUGCAGCCCAGCUACCUCCAUGGAGACCCUUCCUCAGCCAUGCAAAUGCUGGGGAUGCAGUGUGGGUGAGUAUUCUCAGCAUCCCAGCUUCUCUGCUCACUGUCUGGUUGGCCUGCUCUGCUUGCUGGCAUUACAAGCAGCAGCCUAAACCUUGAGCCUG
rnacentral:lncRNA from 1 species